rnacentral:lncRNA from 1 species
UCUGUUCCUAGAUACCAGAGAUGUCAUCAGCUGUUAUAGGGAAAGACAGUUCCUAAAUUCAGAUCUUGAAGGAGAAAAUCGUUUUACUUCACCUUUAGUAAGGAUUUCAUUUGUAAAUGUUCCCGUCAAUUGAAACAUACUGAGGAAGACAAUGACUAAACACUGCCGCAAAGCAAUGUGGCAGAAGGAAAUUAGGCAGUUGCAGAGGCUGGAAAUGCUGAGAUUUGCCAUCUAUGUAGACAGAUACCUACUUAGUACGAAGAGCUUCAUAUUUGGGCAAGAAAAUUCCUGUUGAGGUGACAGAGAAAGGUAUAAGCAAAACUGGAAGAGCAUUUAGCAACAAUUUUCGUUGCAGGUCUAUGUUUUGAGAAGGCCAUUCCCAGAUAUUGUGUGGAUGAAGAAUACGUAGAGGACCCCGACCUGGACCUACAACUGUGUAUGAGUUCAUCUUCAAGCUAAAAUAGCCCAGAUAUCUCAGAAAAGUCACAGUGUGACUAGAUACUCCUAGAAUUGCUUGCUCAAACCUACACUGUGCAUAACUUUUGACUUUCCAGUUAUACCAAUAAAGCA